AGUGAACGCUGGCGGUAGGCCUAACACAUGCAAGUCGAACGGCAGCACAGUAAGAGCUUGCUCUUACGGGUGGCGAGUGGCGGACGGGUGAGGAAUACAUCGGAAUCUACUUUUUCGUGGGGGAUAACGUAGGGAAACUUACGCUAAUACCGCAUACGACCUACGGGCGAAAGCAGGGGAUCUUCGGACCUUGCGCGAUUGAAUGAGCCGAUGUCGGAUUAGCUAGUUGGCGGGGUAAAGGCCCACCAAGGCGACGAUCCGUAGCUGGUCUGAGAGGAUGAUCAGCCACACUGGAACUGAGACACGGUCCAGACUCCUACGGGAGGCAGCAGUGGGGAAUAUUGGACGAUGGGCGCAAGCCUGAUCCAGCCAUACCGCGUGGGUGAAGAAGGCCUUCGGGUUGUAAAGCCCUUUUGUUGGGAAAGAAAAGCAGCAGGUUAAUACCCCGCUGUUCUGACGGUACCCAAAGAAUAAGCACCGGCUAACUUCGUG
rnacentral:rRNA from 1 species